rnacentral:rRNA from 1 species
AUACGUAGGGAGCGAGCGUUGUCCGGAAUUACUGGGUGUAAAGGGAGCGUAGGCGGGAGUGCAAGUCAGAUGUGAAAUACAUGGGCUCAACCCAUGGGCUGCAUUUGAAACUGCUGUUCUUGAGUGAAGUAGAGGUAAGCGGAAUUCCUAGUGUAGCGGUGAAAAGCGUAGAGAUCGGGAGGAACACCAGUGGCGAAGGCGGGUAACUGGACUGCAACUGACGCUGAGGCGCGAAAGUGUGGGGAGCAAACAGGAUUAUAUACCCUGGUAGUCCACACUGUAAACGAUGAUUGCUAGGUGUAAGAGGUAUCGACCCCUUCUGUGCCGGAGUCAACACAAUAAGCAUUCCGCCUGGGUAGUACGGCCGCUACGUUGAAACUCAACGGAAUUGACGGGG